rnacentral:rRNA from 1 species
GGACAAUUUUACCUUGAAAAAAUUAGGGUGCUCAAGGCAGGCCGGGACCUGAAUAAUGAUGCAUGGAAUAAUGGAAUAGGACCUCGGUUCUAUUUUGUUGGUUUUCGGAUCCCGGGGUAAUGAUUGAGAGGGACAGACGGGGGCAUUCGUACUGCUACGCUAGAGGUGAAAUUCUUGGACCGUAGCAAGACGAACUACUGCGAAAGCAUUUGCCAAGAAUGUUUUCAUUAAUCAAGAACGAAAGUUAGAGGUUCGAAGGCGAUCAGAUACCGCCCUAGUUCUAACCAUAAACGAUGCCAACCAGCGAUCCGCCAGAGUUCCUUAAACGACUCGGCGGGCAGCUUCCGGGAAACCAAAGUGUGUGGGUUCCGGGGGAAGUAUGGUUGCAAAGCUGAAACUUAAAGGAAUUGACGGAAGGGCACCACCAGGAGUGGAGCCUGCGGCUUAAUUUGACUCAACACGGGGAAACUCACCCGGCCCGGACACCGGAAGGAUUGACGGAUUGAUAGCUCUUUCUCGAUUCGGUGGGUGGUGGUGCAUGGCCGUUCUUAGUUGGUGGAGUGAUUUGUCUGGUUAAUUCCGAUAACGAACGAGACUCUAGCCUACUAAAUAGACCGGCGGUCCUUGGUACCGCGGUAUGGUCUUCUUAGAGGGACAGGCGGCAUUUAGCCGCACGAGACAGAGCAAUAACAGGUCUGUGAUGCCCUUAGAUGUCCGGGGCCGCACGCGCGCUACACUGAAGGAAUCAGCAGGUGACUUUCCUUGUCCGACAGGACCGGGUAACCCUCUGAAACUCCUUCGUGAUUGGGAUAGGGGAUUGUAAUUGUUCCCCUCGAACGAGGAAUUCCCAGUAGGUGCGGGUCAUGAGCUCGCGCCGAUUACGUCCCUGCCCUUUGUACACACCGCCCGUCGCUAUUACCGAUUGAAUGAUUUAGUGAGGUCUUCGGACUGGUCCAGCGAGC